GGCAAUCGAAAAAAAGGCUUUAAAGUGCCACUAACACAUUGCACCAAAUUUUAAAUAGGGCAAAUUAUUUCAUAAAACCCUCUUAUUCAUUAUUUUCUUUUAUCCCCUUUAACACUAAAAUACAAAUUGCUCCAAUGUUUAUUAUUUGCUUAUUACCUAAAUAAGGUUAUGAAGCAAAUAAUACACAAAACUACCUUGAAUAAAAUAAAAUACAAACUACCCUUUCUCUACUUUCUUUAAACAUUUCUAGCAAAUGCUUGCAAAAAUGGCUGCAAAAAGUGCACUGUCAAACAAAACAUUUCUAACAGUUAUAAAUGCUUGCAAAAAUGGUUGUCCUAUCAAAUUUCGGUGAGUGGUGAAAGUAGAGGAAGGGCAGUUUGUAUUUACGACGAUGGAGCAGGAAGAUUACAUGACUUGCUUUUCGGCACUGGAGCAUUGGCCUCUGAUUAUCUUAUUUGGGUAAUUAGCAAAUAAUAAACAUCGGAGCAGCUUGUAUUUUGGUGUUAAAGGGGAAUAAAAGGAAAUAAUAAAUAAAGGAGUUUAUGAGGCAAUUUACCCUACUUAAAGGUUUUGUGCCGGCAUGCGAAUGCGACACUCGUAAAGCAUUUUUUCCAACUUUCAACCAAAAUGGGAUAUUUACCUAUUAGGUCCCUGAAUAUUUCAAGUCAUCAAAUUUCAGUAUUAGCAGCACCAUUAGAAUACUAUAGCAAAUGCAUAUUUUCGUAAUUAAUUUAUUUUUCGUGAUUAAUUAUUAUUAUUUUGUUAUUUAGGUAAAAAAGCCUUUAUUUUAUUAUUUAAAAAUAUUUUUUUCAUAAUUAAAUUUAAAUAAAAAUAUAUCUAUUAAAUACAACAUUAUCAAUAUCAAACUUGAGAAAUAAGAUAAUUGUUUGAUGUAUUAGUAAGGCUUAAGAAAUCAUAUUUAUAAUACUUCUAGUCGUAAAAAACCUAGGUUAAGAGUACGUUCUCAAUGUCUCUUAGAGAAACAACUUUUGUUAUGGCUGGGUUCAAGAAGGGUGGUGACUUUUGGUGUAGAUGGAGAGGGAGGAGAGGGACAAGAUCUCUUUUCUGGAAGAAGAAUUGGUUCAGUUAUUAGUGAAAAGUUCGUCGAUUGUUCAUAUAGGGAAGCCAACGAUGUUAUGUUUUGUGUGGACAAGAAAAUCGUAUAAUCUUGAUAGUUUUCGAGCCCAACUGAAAAGAAUCUGGAAGACAUGAAAAAAGUUUGAAAUACAAGUUGUAGGGUAGAAUUUAUUCAUGAUUCUGUUUGAGGAAGAGGAGGACCUAGAGACGAUUUUGGAGGGUCAACCAUGGUUCUUUCGGAGAAAUCUAAUUAUUUUUUAUCAACUGUUGGAAUUCAUGGAGAGAAGAAAGAUAAAGUGGAUUAUGUCUCCCUUUUGGAUCAAAGUUGGCCCUUGCCUGCCAGAAUGCGACAGUAAGGACCUUAUGAAUGUAGUUGGGUCCACUUUUGGUGGAGUUUUGUAUCGGAGUCAAAAAGGAAUUUUUGUUGAAUUCGAGUCAAUAUUAAUUUACAAAAACCUUUAAGGCGUGGAAUUUUAUCCAGGUUGGUUCGAAGGAAAAGCAAUGGAUCCCUUUUAAGUAUGAAAAUUUGCCCAGUUUUUACUUUGGCUAUGGCUGAACCUAGAAGAAUGCACGGAGGUUUCAAAUGUUAUUAACCACUAACUAGAGGAUGACUUACGCUACUUUGUAGUGCUUAAAGUAGAAUCUAAAUUGGUGGGAAAGGUGAGUCAAAAGCUGGGUGCCAUCUUAAAGAAAUCCAUGAAACAAUUUGCCUAUGUGGGAGAAGACGAUGAUUCCACACAUUCGAAAUACUAGAGUGUUGGGAUUGGGACACUGCUUAUGGCGGUUAUGGAUGACACGACUUCGAAAGAGGGCAUUAGAUUCGGAAAUGAGGUAUUGGAUUCCGAAAUUACCACUGGGAGGAAGGGUGUUGUGGGUGAUGUGCUUGAUUAAGAGUUUGUUACGAGAAACGCAAAAGGGGGAAGUGUGUUAGAAUAGAAGUUGGCGUGUUAGAAUAGAUGUUGGCGUGUUGGACUCAAACAGGUUGUUUGAAGAGCAUUUUAAAUGAAUAAAAGUCAGAUGUGGAAUUAAAAAAUAGGGCCUAUGAAAUUCGAGAAGAUGAUAGAGGCAAGUAUUGGACUUCGAUUGAUUCUCCUUUAGGGAAAGAUUCGGGCUGGGAACUUAUGGAUCACAAUAGUCCCCAUUUGGGAGCUGGGCCCAUUAAUGACUCAAAUGGGCCCCAAAAGUGUAAGAUGUGAAACUUGGAAGAAAGACUACAGCCCACCAAACGCUAGAAUAGGCUAGCUAGAACCGCUAAUUUAGAACUAGGUAGUAGGGUUGUGACACAUGGGAAACGUAAAGGGGAAUGAGAGUUCUUUAGUGAAGUGGGUUUUCUUUCUACGACACUACUAGUAAAAAAGCAAAAUGUGCUAGAGAAGAAGUUAACAACUUUAUGAUGGACAGUUUGACAAAAAUGCCUUGGAGCAAGUUUUAGCUCUAACUAAUGAAGGAUUGACAGCUACCAAUAAGCAAGCCGACCAGGCACAGUGAAACUCUUAUGUUGGAAUGUUCAUGGUUUGGGAAGACCACAGACAGUGUGCCACAUUCGACAUUCACUGAGGCUUUAUAAGCCAAAAAUGUUCUUUAUGGAGACAAAAUUAUAUUCUUGUAUAAUGGAAAUAGUUAGGAAACGAUAUGGCUUUUUGCAUAGAUUUGAGAUUGGGGCUAAUGGUAGUAAAGGUAGCCUCUGUCUGACAUGGAAAGAUGAUCUACAAGUAUGUUUAAAGAAGCUCUCUAAUAAUUUUAUUGACGUGACGAUUAAAAGGAGCGAGGAAGAUAACGAGUGGCACUUCAUAGGCUUUUAUGGUUCUUCUUUGGCAAAAAGCAGACAAGAAUCAUGGAACGUUUUCAGAUAUUUAGGAGCUAAUUGUAAUCUCCCAUGGCUCGUGUGCGGGGACUUUAACAAGAUUCUCUAUGCUUCUAAAAAAAAUGAGGCUACCAAGGGAAGAAAGGAGAAUGAAAGAUUUCUGAGAUGCCUUAAUGGACUAUGGCUUGUUUGACAUAGGUUUUUCGGGCCCUUCGUUUACAUAGGAGAGAAGGAAUUUAUUAGAAACAAACAUCAGAAAACGGUUGGAUAGGGGGUCACAAACAAAAAGUGGUUUACUCAAUUCCUUAGUGCUUUUAUUGUCAUUUGCCCUACUCUUUCUCAAAUCAUUGCCCACUAUUGAUCUAAACAUACCGUGGAGGAGGAGAUAAAAAACAACGCAAGUUUCAAUUUGAAGCUUGGUAGAUUGUAGAAGACUCCUUUGAAGCUGAAGUUAAGAAAAUAUAAGAUUCGAAUAGGGGGACCUUCUUUCCAAACUAGAAAGUACUAGAGUUAGUUUACUUAAGUGGGUUCGGCAAAGAAAGGAGAAAAGGAAUGGUUUGAAGGAGACUUUGAUAAAAUAUAGACGAUACAAAUCUUCAAGCAUUUAUUGAUACAAAACUCCUUUUUUAAUUAGGAUAUUGAUAAUGAAGAACGUUUUUGGAAACAAAGAGCAAGAGUAAACUGGCUAAAAGGCUAGUGACAAAAAUACCAAAUUUUUCCACAAAUGCGCAAAUGAAGAAUUCAAAUAGGAUCUCGUUUUUAGACUAUGUGGGUGGUAGAAUUACCUUAGAUCAUAAUGAAAUGGAAAACAUUGAGACGAGCUAUUUUGUUGAGCUUUUUGUGACGAAUGGGAGGUAAUGGGAUGAGCCAUACUCUGUCCGGAGUUGAUAGGUGCAUCAUUAAAUAGGCCAAUACUGAGCUAACUACUUCCUACAUAGAGGAGGAAGUCUUUGGGGCAUUAAAAGGUAUGGCCCCUAUGAAGGCACCAGGUAUAGAUGGUUUCUCAGCAAUUUCUCUCAAAAAUAUUAGUACAUUAUGGGCAAGGAGGUUUGUCGUUUUGGUUUGGGAGUAUUAAAUAAUAGCAUGAAUAUGGGGUUUAUAAAUGUCACUAAUAUAGUUCUUAUCCCUAAAAUUCACAAUCCUACAAAAAUGUGAAAUUUUAGACCAAUUAGGCUUUACACUGUUAUCUAUAAAAUCAUAGCCAAAAUGGUUGCAAACAGAUUUCAAAAAGUAUUAUAAGUCUAUAUUGACAAGUCCUAAACUACUUUUGCUCCUGAUCGAUUAAUAUCUGAUAGUGUUUUAUUGGCAUAUGAAUUAUUGCAUACUUUUAGCCAGGAGUAAAAAGGUAGAAAGGGUUUACUUGCGCUCAAACUAGACAUGAGUAAAGCCUACGACAAGAUAGAGUGAAAUUUUCUACGAGUAAUGAUGGAAAAAAUAGGUUUUUCUCAAGCUUGGGUUGACAUUGUGAUGAAGUCUAUUUCCACUGUCUCUUAUUCGAUAAGCUUAAAUGAAAGAAUUAGGACACAUUUCUAGCCUUUGUGAGGACUUCGACAAGGGGAACCUUUUAGCCCUUUUUUCUUUCUCAUUUGUAGUAAGGGUCUCCCUUCUUUAACGAGGUUGGCUGUUCAUGAAAGUCUUCUAAAGAGGGUAAAAGCUAGUUGAAAAGGUCCAUUAACAUCUCACUUAUUCUUUGUCGAUGAUUGUAUUCUACUUGAGGAGACUACUGUGGGAGGCGAUAAAAUUUUGAAGUAAAUUUUAAAAGAAUAUAAGACCCAUUCGGGUCAAUGUCUGAAUUUUGACAAAUCCACAAUCUUUUUUAGAUCAAAUACAAUUGAUUCGGUGAGAACACAAAUCUCCAUCGAAUUGGGUGUAAGGUGUUCUACUAACCUCAAGAAAUACCUGGGUCUCCCAAAUAUAGUGAGUAGAAGGAAGAAUGUCUCUUUUUAAUAUUUAAAAGAUCGUAUGAAACAAAAGGUUGAUAAUUGGAGUUCUCGUUUCUUGUCUCAAGGCGGCAAGGAAGUGUUUAUUAAAGCAGUGUUACAAGCAAUACCUACUUAUGCUAUAGGUUAUUUUCUUUUGCCAAAAUCCUUGUGUAAAGAGAUGGAAAGCAUUGUGCCUCAAUUUUGGUGGCAAAAGACUCAUGUGAAACAAGGCUUACAUUGGUGUGGAUUGGGUUCUAUGUGUGAAUUAAAAGAAAAUGAUGGCAUUGGCUGUAGGAGUUUUGCGAAAUUUAAUAUUACCCUUCUUGCAAAACAAGGGUGGCAUCUUAUGACUAAUCCAAAUUCUCUGUUGGCGCAGGUUUUGAAAGCGAAAUAUUAUCCACAUUCUAAUUUUCUGAAUUCAUGUCUUAAAGUGAAUGCUUCGUAUGCGUGAAAAAAGCAUCUAGGCAAUAAAAAAGGUACUUUAGGAUGGUUCUGGUUGGAGGGUGGGUACGAGUGAAGCGAUCCCUAUUUUUAAUGCUGCAUGGAUACUAUGCUCUUUUAAUUUUCAAUUAUGUGGUACAGUUAGUAAUUGUAAUCUUGAAUUUGUUUCUGAGCUUAUUGAUGAUAAUAGAGAAUGGAAAAAGGAUACUAUUAUUUCCAUCUUUGAUGAGGAUGAUGCAUCAAGAAUCCUUCAGAUCCCGCUGGCACUUGAACCACAAGAUGAUACCCUGGUUUGGUGGAAGGAAGCAUAUGGUGAGUUCUACGUUCGCUGUGCUUACAAAUUGUUAGAAAUCAAUAGUGCUUCUCAGUUUAAGGGAAUAACAAGCUACAUAUAAAAGUUUCUAUUGUAAACUAUAGAACUUAAAUUUGCCUUCCAAUCUAAAAAUUACUGUCUGGCGUAUUUCCAAAAAUUAUAUCCUUACCAUGUCAAACUUACUCUUGAAGAAGCUGGUUCGAGACACUCUGUGUCCCAUUUGUGGGGGAGGAGCAAAAACAAUAGUCAUGCCUUCUGCUUUUGUCUUGUUGCAAAUAAAGUUUGGGAAAUCUUAGGCCUCAUUGAUUUAUUAAACCUACCUAGUUAGGGGUGGUUGGAUUGCCUUACUGCAGUUUUUAAUGUCUGUUGGCACAUUCAACGAAGGAUUGUUUGCUGCUCACUUUGGGCCAUCUGGUUUGAAAGAAAUAGGAGAGUUCAUGACAAAGUGGUUAAAUCAGGAAAGGAAAUUACUAAUUUUAUCUCCAGGUAUCUCUAUGAAUUGGACUGUUUAGAAGAGAAGAAAAUUACCGUCCAGGGUGAUAAAGUAAGCUGGAAUCCUCCUCCUACCGAUUUUAUCAAAGUAAACUUUGAUACGGCUUUUGUCAUGGAACGAUGUAGAUUAGGUACAGGGCUGGUUGCUCGAAAUAGAAAAGGUGUGGUAAUAGUGUCUAAAACUUGCACGACAAUGUGGGACCGGCUUUCACCGGGGAAGCCCUUGCAUGCCUUGAGGCGCUUAAAAUGGGGUUAGUUCUCAGAUUAACAAAAGUAAUCAUCGAAGGAGACCCCUUGUCUGUUAUUACGAAAUGUAACUCAAGUCAUACUGACAAAUCAAAAGUUAGCUCGCACCUUCGUAAUAUCGAAGGCACUCUCGCCCGAUUUCAAAGCAUCAUAUUUAUGCAUGUUAAAAGAUCUGGAAAUGCUUUAGCAGACGCUCUAGGCACUGAAUGUGUAAGGAAGGGAAAAGGCUUUUACCUGAUCGGAUCUGUCCCAGACUCCGCUGCAACAACUUUUUCCAAUGAUUGGCUCCGCGAGCCUGACUGACGAAUGAAGGACUCUUGGUUUUUCCGGUUUCUUGGGUUACCGAAGCAUCAGAUCUAGACAGGGAUGCUUCGACUGAAUGAUUGUCUUAAUGCAGGGAGAUAAGUUUGGCAGACUUUUUUUGGGAGAAAUGGAACCGUCGGUGCCUCUUAGAAAGAUGAUAAGAGUGGGACGGGCAAUCUCUUUCCCUAAAGGAGUAGGCACGUUUUUCUUUAAUUUUCUUUAUAGUUUGUUUACUUUUUCAGUAGCUUCUUUAUUAUCUUUCUUUUUCAAUACUUUUUCUUCCUUUUAGGAUCAGAUAACUUUUCUUUCUUUGAGCCUCUUUGUGCCUUUGCUCUUUUUAAUUUUGGUUUUCAUGUAAAUUUUAGUUUUAAAUUAAUAAAGCCCAACCCUAUUUUAUCCAAAGAAAAGAAAAUAAAUCAUAUUUAUUUAUUUUAUUUUUUAAAGAGG
rnacentral:lncRNA from 1 species